rnacentral:rRNA from 1 species
UACGUAGGGACCAAGCGUUGCUCGGAAUCACUGGGCGUAAAGGGUGCGUAGGCGGGUCUUUAAGUCAGGGGUGAAAUCCUGGAGCUCAACUCCAGAACUGCCUUUGAUACUGAGGAUCUUGAGUUCGGGAGAGGUGAGUGGAACUGCGAGUGUAGAGGUGAAAUUCGUAGAUAUUCGCAAGAACACCAGUGGCGAAGGCGGCUCACUGGCCCGAUACUGACGCUGAGGCACGAAAGCGUGGGGAGCAAACAGG